rnacentral:rRNA from 1 species
GACCGGAUGCCGAUCUCGAAAACCUGUCCCAGUUCGGACUGGAGUCUGCAACCCGACUCCACGAAGUUGGAUUCGCUAGUAAUCGCGCAUCAGCCAUGGCGCGGUGAAUACGUUCCCGGGCCUUGUACACACCGCCCGUCAAGCCAUGGGAGCCGGGGGCGCCUGAAGUCCGGGACCGCGAGGACCGGCCUAGGGCGAAACUGGUGACUGGGGCUAAGUCGUAACAAGGUAAC